rnacentral:rRNA from 1 species
GAGUUUGAUCGUGGCUCAGGACGAACGCUGGCGGCGUGCUUAACACAUGCAAGUCGAACGAGAAUCUACUGAAAGAGUUUUCGGACAAUGGAAGUAGAGGAAAGUGGCGGACGGGUGAGUAACGCGUGAGGAACCUGCCUUGAAGAGGGGACAACAGUUGGAAACGACUGCUAAUACCGCAUGAUGCAUAAGGGUCGCAUGAUUCUUAUGCCAAAGAUUUAUCGCUUCAAGAUGGCCUCGCGUCUGAUUAGCUAGUUGGCGGGGUAACGGCCCACCAAGGCGACGAUCAGUAGCCGGACUGAGAGGUUGAACGGCCACAUUGGGACUGAGAUACGGCCCAGACUCCUACGGGAGGCAGCAGUGGGGAAUAUUGGGCAAUGGGCGCAAGCCUGACCCAGCAACGCCGCGUGAAGGAAGAAGGCUUUCGGUAUGUAAACUUCUAUCAGCAGGGAAGAAAAUAGACGGUACCUGACUAAGAAGCCCGGCUAACUACGUGCCAGCAGCCGCCGCGGU